GACGAACGCUGGCGGCGUGCCUAAUACAUGCAAGUAGAACGCUGAAGGAGGAGCUUGCUCUUCUGGAUGAGUUGCGAACGGGUGAGUAACGCGUAGGUAUCCUGCCUGGUAGCGGGGGAUAACUCUUGGAAACGAUAGCUAAUACCGCAUAAGAGUAGAUGUUGCAUGACAUUUACUUAAAAGGUGCAAUUGCAUCACUACCAGAUGGACCUGCGUUGUAUUAGCUAGUUGGUGGGGUUACGGCUUACCAAGGCGACGAUACAUAGCCGACCUGAGAGGGUGAACGGCCACACUGGGACUGAGACACGGCCCAGACCCCUACGGGAGGCAACAGUAGGGAAUCUUCGGCAAUGGACGGAAGUCUGACCGAGCAACGCCGCGGGAGUGAAGAAGGUUUUCGGAGCGGAAAGCUCUGUUGUAAGAGAAGAACGAGUGUGAGAGUGGAAAGUUCACACUGUGACGGUAUCUUACCAGAAAGCGACGGCUAACUACGUG
rnacentral:rRNA from 1 species